rnacentral:rRNA from 1 species
UCGAGCGAGAAUUAUCAUAAGUUACUUAAGAUAAGGAAAGCGGCGGACGAGUGAGUAACACGUAAGAACUCCCCCUGUACUCAGGAAUAACUCAUCGAAAGAUGAGCUAAUACCGGAUAGUCUCGAAAGAGUAAAGCUUUUGCGGUACAGGAGAGGCUUGCGGCCUAUCAGUUUGUUGGUGAGGUAAAAGCUCACCAAGACUAUGACGGGUAGCUGGUGUGAGAGCAUGACCAGCCACGAUGGGACUGAGACACGGCCCAUACUCC